AGUGAACGCUGGCGGUAGGCCUAACACAUGCAAGUCGAACGGCAGCACAGUAAGAGCUUGCUCUUACGGGUGGCGAGUGGCGGACGGGUGAGGAAUACAUCGGAAUCUACUUUUUCGUGGGGGAUAACGUAGGGAAACUUACGCUAAUACCGCAUACGACCUACGGGUGAAAGCAGGGGAUCUUCGGACCUUGCGCGAUUGAAUGAGCCGAUGUCGGAUUAGCUAGUUGGCGGGGUAAAGGCCCACCAAGGCGACGAUCCGUAGCUGGUCUGAGAGGAUGAUCAGCCACACUGGAACUGGGACACGGUCCAGACUCCUAAGGGAGGCAGCAGUGGGGAAUAUUGGACAAUGGGCGCAAGCCUGAUCCAGCCAUACCGCGUGGGUGAAGAAGGCCUUCGGGUUGUAAAGCCCUUUUGUUGGGAAAGAAAAGCAGCAGGUUAAUACCCCGCUGUUCUGACGGUACCCAAAGAAUAAGCACCGGCUAACUUCGUG
rnacentral:rRNA from 1 species